GUAUUAGAGGCACUGCCUGCCCAGUGAAUUAAUUUUAACGGCCGCGGUAUCCUGACCGUGCAAAGGUAGCAUAAUCACUUGUCUCCUAAAUAGAGACUUGUAUGAAUGGCAAAACGAGGGUUUAACUGUCUCUUUUUCUCAAUCAAUGAAAUUGACCUACCCGUGCAGAGGCGGGUAUAACUUUAUAAGACGAGAAGACCCUGUGGAGCUUAAAAUUACAACUUAAAUUAAUUUAUACUAUACCCUAAGGGAUUAAUCUUACAAAACUUUUUAAGCUGAAUUUUUGGUUGGGGUGACCUCGGAGCACAAGCAACCCUCCGAAUGACAUAACUAAGACUAACACAUCUAAGUGCAACCUAAGCCAGUAAUUGACCCAAAACUUGAUCAACGGAACAAGUUACCCCAGGGAUAACAGCGCAAUCCUAUUUAAGAGCCCAUAUCGACAAUUAGGGUUUACGACCUCGAUGUUGGAUCAGGACACCCCAAUGGUGCAGCCGCUAUUAAAGGUUCGUUUGUUCAACGAUUAAAGUCCUACGUGAUCUGAGUUCAGACCGGAGAAAUCCAGGUCGGUUUCUAUCUAUAUAAUAAUUUCUCCUAGUACGAAAGGACAAGAGAAUUAAGGCCAACAUUACAAACAAGCCUUACAACUAACUAAUGAUCUUAUCUCAAUUAGUUAAUGCAAGAUUUUAUUACUCUAGAGAAGAGUUAUUAAGGUGGCAGAGCAGGUAAUUGCAUAAAACUUAAGCCUUUACUAU
rnacentral:ncRNA from 1 species